UACGGGGGAUCCGAGCGUUAUUCGGAUUUAUUGGGUGUAAAGGGUGCGUAGGUGGUUGGGUAAGUCAGAUGUCAAAUACCACAGCUCAACUGUGGCACGCGUUUGAUACUGCUCGGCUUGAGUCCGGAAGAGGUGAGUGGAAUUCCUAGUGUAGCGGUGAAAUGCGUAGAUAUUAGGAAGAACACCGGUGGCGAAAGCGACUCACUGGUCCGGUACUGACACUAAGGCACGAAAGCCAGGGGAGCAAACGGG
rnacentral:rRNA from 1 species